CCCUUAGAUGUUCUGGGCCGCACGCGCGCUACACUGACGAAUGCAACGAGCUUAUAACCUUGGCCGAAAGGUCUGGGUAAUCUCCAAAUUUCGUCGUGAUGGGGAUAGAUUAUUGCAAUUAUUAAUCUUCAACGAGGAAUGCCUAGUAAGCGCAAGUCAUCAGCUUGCGUUGAUUACGUCCCUGCCCUUUGUACACACCGCCCGUCGCUCCUACCGAUUGAAUGGUCCGGUGAAAUCUUCGGAUCUGAGAGAUGUCUGAUUAAUUUCGGACGCCUUUUGGAAAAGUUGUUUAAACCUUACCAUUUAGAGGAAGGUGAAGUCGUAACA
rnacentral:rRNA from 1 species